AGAGAGAUAAGGGCCCCUCCUUGCCUCUCAUGCCCAUUUCCCUCCCUUUUCUCCCUUCCUUAAUUGUUAUUCUUGGAAAUUGGGUUUUUCCUUUUGUUUAUUUUGUGUGGGGUAAAGGGACUGGGGGAAACAUAACCUUGGUCUGGGGGUGUCUGGGAAACUGCAGGGCAGGAAAGAGUGGCUGUGGUGUCUGUUUCUCCACACUGAGCAAGCCUCUGGUCACAUCUGCUCUGCAGGACUCCAAACUUCAGGGCUCUUAGCAGACCACCGGCUCCCCGUGGUUUAGAACAAGGAGUUUGCGUGCUGCACAAGAGACCCUGGCUGAGCUGUGAGAGCCAAGGGCCAAGGGCCUCACCUUAAACAAGGAGGGGGGCUUCCUCUUUAAGGCUCUGUCCAUUCACCAAGCCACAACCCUGCAGGACCGCAGCCGGCAGAUGGAAACUAUUCAGGAAGAGAAAAAGUAAAAUCCAGGCGAUCCUGAAGGCGAGCUGGCUCCGGGAACCUAGAAAUUCCCUAACACCCCAAUUCUCCUCUGGCAGAGGCUUUUAAGACCAGCUGAAGAUCAGUCCCCUGAGGAGGGUUGAGAAGCUACAAAGGAACCUCUGGCCCAGGGGCUCUACCCUUCCCGGUGCUCUCACUGGCUUGGGGCGGCCAGGAAGUCCAGCUGGGCCUUCCACCUGCACCCUGAGGCUGGCAGGGAGUGGCACUAUAGGAGGUGUGGCCUUGUUGGAGGAAGUGUGUCACCGUGGAGGCGGGAUUUGAGGUGUCAUAUGCUCAAGCUACACCUAGCGUGGGACACAGUUCACUUACUUCCUGUUGCCUGCAGAUCAAGAUGUAGAACUCUCAAUCAGCUCCUUCUCCAGCAACAUGUCUGCCUGAAUGCUUCCAUGCUUCCCACAAUGAUGACAAUGGACUAAACCUCUGAAACUGUGAG